rnacentral:rRNA from 1 species
GAGCCAAGAUUUGUCGCCUCAAGCGACUAUCAAACUUGAACUGAAGAGUUUGAUCCUGGCUCAGAUUGAACGCUGGCGGCAUGCCUAACACAUGCAAGUCGAACGGAAACGAUGGGAGCUUGCUCCCAGGCGUCGAGUGGCGGACGGGUGAGUAAUACAUAGGAAUCUGCCCUGUAGUGGGGGACAACCUGGGGAAACCCAGGCUAAUACCGCAUGAGCCCUUCGGGGG